rnacentral:pre_miRNA from 1 species
CGCUCCCUCCUGCUGACAUAUUUACUAGAGGGUAAAAUCAACAACCUUCUGGUAAGAGUGGCAGUCGAAGGGAAGGG